rnacentral:rRNA from 1 species
AUAACACUUAGAAAUAGGUGUUAAUACCGCAUAAGCGCACAGAGCCGCAUGGCUCAGUGUGAAAAACUCCGGUGGUGUAAGAUGGAUCCGCGUCUGAUUAGCUGGUUGGCGGGGUAGAAGCCCACCAAGGCGACGAUCAGUAGCCGGCCUGAGAGGGUGAACGGCCACAUUGGGACUGAGACACGGCCCAAACUCCUACGGGAGGCAGCAGUGGGGAAUAUUGCACAAUGGGGGAAACCCUGAUGCAGCAACGCCGCGUGAGUGAAGAAGUCAUUCGUGAUGUAAAGCUCUAUCAGCAGGGAAGAAAAUGACGGUACCUGAGUAAGAAGCCCCGGCUAACUACGUGCCAGCAGCCGCGGUAAUACGUAGGGGGCAAGCGUUAUCCGGAUUUACUGGGUGUAAAGGGAGCGUAGACGGCCAGACAAGUCUGAAGUGAAAAUCCAGCGCUUAACGUUGGAAGUGCUUUGGAAACUGCCGGGCUAGAGUGCAGGAGGGGCAGGCGGAAUUCCUAGUGUAGCGGUGAAAUGCGUAGAUAUUAGGAGGAACACCAGUGGCGAAGGCGGCCUGCUGGACUGCAACUGACGUUGAGGCUCGAAGGCGUGGGGAGCAAACAGGAUUAGAUACCCUGGUAGUCCACGCGGUAAACGAUGAUUACUAGGUGUCGGGGGGCUAGAGCCCUUCGGUG